CGUAGGGGGCAAGCGUUGUCCGGAUUUAUUGGGCGUAAAGAGCGUGUAGGCGGCCAGGUAGGUGGGUUGUGAAAACUGGAGGCUCAACCUUCAGACGUCGACCCAAACCCCCUGGCUAGAGUCCGGAAGAGGAGAGUGGAAUUCCUGGUGUAGCGGUGAAAUGCGCAGAUAUCAGGAAGAACACCCGUGGCGAAGGCGGCUCUCUGGGACGGUACUGACGCUGAGACGCGAAAGCGUGGGGAGCGAACAGGAUUAGAUACCCUGGUAGUCCACGCCGUAAACGAUGGGUGCUAGGUGUGGGGGGUGUCGACUCCCUCCGUGCCGAAGCUAACGCAUUAAGCACCCCGCCUGGGGAGUACGGCCGCAAGGCUA
rnacentral:rRNA from 1 species